AGUGAACGCUGGCGGUAGGCCUAACACAUGCAAGUCGAACGGCAGCACAGUAAGAGCUUGCUCUUACGGGUGGCGAGUGGCGGACGAGUGAGGAAUACAUCGGAAUCUACUUUUUCGUGGGGGAUAACGUAGGGAAACUUACGCUAAUACCGCAUACGACCUACGGGUGAAAGCAGGGGAUCUUCGGACCUUGCGCGAUUGAAUGAGCCGAUGUCGGAUUAGCUAGUUGGCGGGGUAAAGGCCCACCAAGGCGACGAUCCGUAGCUGGUCUGAGAGGAUGAUCAGCCACACUGGAACUGAGACACGGUCCAGACUCCUACGGGAGGCAGCAGUGGGGAAUAUUGGACAAAGGGCGCAAGCCUGAUCCAGCCAUACCGCGUGGGUGAAGAGGGCCUUCGGGUUGUAAAGCCCUUUUGUUGGGAAAGAAAAGCAGCAGGUUAAUACCCCGCUGUUCUGACGGUACCCAAAGAAUAAGCACCGGCUAACUUCGUG
rnacentral:rRNA from 1 species